CUUUUACAAUGAAGAGUUUGAUCCUGGCUCAGGAUGAACGCUAGCUACAGGCUUAACACAUGCAAGUCGAGGGGCAUCAGGAAGAAAGCUUGCUUUCUUUGUUGGCGACCGGCGCACGGGUGAGUAACACGUAUCCAACCUGCCCUUUACUCGGGGAUAGCCUUUCGAAAGAAAGAUUAAUACCCGAUAGUAUAAUUAUUCCGCAUGGUUUGAUUAUUAAA
rnacentral:rRNA from 1 species